rnacentral:rRNA from 1 species
UACGUAGGGACCAAGCGUUGUUCGGAUUUACUGGGCGUAAAGGGCGCGUAGGCGGCCUAGCAAGUCACUUGUGAAAUCUCCGGGCUUAACUCGGAACUGCCAAGUGAAACUGCUGGGCUAGAGUGCAGAAGGGGCAAUCGGAAUUCUUGGUGUAGCGGUGAAAUGCGUAGAUAUCAAGAGGAACACCUGAGGUGAAGACGGGUUGCUGGGCCGACACUGACGCUGAGGCGCGAAAGCCAGGGGAGCAAACGGG